rnacentral:rRNA from 1 species
CCCUUAGACGUUCUGGGCCGCACGCGUGCUACACUGACCGGUGCAACAAGUUUCUUUCCUUGGCUCGAUAGGCCUGGGUAAUCUUUGAACACCGGUCGUGAUGGGGAUAGAUCCUUGCAAUUUUUGAUCUUCAACGAGGAAUUCCUAGUAAAUGCGAGUCAUCAUCUCGCGUUGAUUACGUCCCUGCCCUUUGUACACACCGCCCGUCGCACCUACCGAUUGAAUGGUCCGGUGAAGCCUCCGGAUUGGCGCGCACCUCGGUGCCGCCGAGAAGUUGGCUAAACCUUACCAUUUAGAGGAAGGUGAAGUCGUANCA